GAUGAACGCUGGCGGCGUGCCUAAUACAUGCAAGUCGAGCGAACAGACGAGGAGCUUGCCCCUCUGACGUUAGCGGCGGACGGGUGAGUAACACGUGGAUAACCUACCUAUAAGACUGGGAUAACGUCGGGAAACCGGAGCUAAUACCGGAUAAUAUAGUGAACCGCAUGGUUCAAUAGUGAAAGACGGUUUUGCUGUCACUUAUAGAUGGAUCCGCGCCGCAUUAGCUAGUUGGUAAGGUAACGGCUUACCAAGGCAACGAUGCGUAGCCGACCUGAGAGGGUGAUCGGCCACACUGGAACUGAGACACGGUCCAGACUCCUACGGGAGGCAGCAGUAGGGAAUCUUCCGCAAUGGGCGAAAGCCUGACGGAGCAACGCCGCGUGAGUGAUGAAGGUCUUCGGAUCGUAAAACUCUGUUAUUAGGGAAGAACAAAUGUGUACGUAACUAUGCACGUCUUGACGGUACCUAAUCAGAAAGCCACGGCUAACUACGUG
rnacentral:rRNA from 1 species